rnacentral:lncRNA from 1 species
AUAAAUUUAAGGCUAGCACUGCAGUUUAAUUUCCCUGUCAUCCAUUUAAAUAUGCGAUCAGCAAAGCGGGAUGUCAUAUUCAGUGCCAUGCAUACCAGACAAAACCUUGGUGGUUAACUUUUGUUCUAUGCCAUGCUAAGAAUGGUGUGCCAUCACUAGGAAUAUGGGAACUCUAGGCGCGCAAGUGUUUUAGGGUAAGAAUUUUAGACACUUGAAUAGUUUUGGUUCUGUUUACAGGAAUACUUGCUUUGAUAUUUUUUCUUUUAUUUUUUUUUUCAUCCAUUUGAAGGACUCUUUGGGAGCAGGUAGGACAAAGAAUAAAAUUAUGGGUCGCCAAGCCUUCUAGGGUUUGUUUCAAGAACCUUGGAAGACUCAACUUUGUAUGAAAUUUUCUCCAUGGUAGGAGUACUUAAGAUCUGUUGGCAUAAAUGCUUUUGUUUCUAAUAAAUUAUAUUAGAAGAACUCCGAUCAAAUGAAGUCCAAUUAAGCAUAAGUUAUCACUUGAUAGAAAUUUCUUUAUUACCGAAGAAAUAUCAUAUUUAUGUUUUGUACCCUAGUCAUGUUAUUUUAUUUUAUAUUGUUUGUAUUUUCAUUUUUUUUGUAUUUAUCUUUUUUUAUUUUUUCUUAUAUUUUGAUUGCAUUCUUUAUACCUUUGAUUGUAUUCUUUAUAUAUUUUAUCAUGUUCUUCGUACGUACCAAAUUAAAAGAGUAAUUGCAUGUAACUUAAUAUGGAGUGUUUUAUUUUUCGAAAAGUCGAAAUUUUGAAAUAAGUGAUAUUUUCAUAUAGCAUGUGAUUUGUUGUCUGUUCUAACAAUUAUAACUAUUUGUUAGCAACAUUCAAGUGAAGGCCAAGGAAAAAUACCUUCAACUUACGAGAACAAGACAAGUUGAAGGUACUUGAAAAAGAAAAAGCUACAACCCUCCAAUUUUUCGUACACAAAGUUACACGUGAUCACUAACUUGAAGAAAAGGACAUUCGGGUUUAUGUUGGGCAGUUGAGUUGAAUGAGAAUUGAAAGGUCAUCGCAGUGUAGCUACUUGAGUUGAAUGAGAAUUGAAAGAAAGGAAGAUUAGGGUUUAUGCUAAGUACUUGAGAUGGUUGCGAAAGAUCGACAUUAAUUUUCUUAAUAUAAUCGAUGUUAAACACAAGGGCAAGAAAAUCUAUCAAACAUAAACUAAUCGAUACAUAAUGAGUCAACAAUGCCGCAAAGUGCACACGGCAUACCAAUCCCCAUAAGAAAUGUAAUGCUUUAUCCGCGUCAAAAAUCAACGGUAGUUAGGGCCAAGUGGCACACCGGCCUUCAAGGAUGAAGCUUAGUGGCAUCUAUGAUCUAUGGAGUACUCAAGUCAAAAAAGGUCUUCCCAAUUUCAUAUUGCCAUUAGGAAGGAAACAUCCUGUUACCAUCACUAUAUAUCUUGCAUACAUCAAGACUAGUCCAAUUAAGCCCUAGUCCACUAAGUGAACUUAAGAGGUCAUAGAGGCAGUUGAAAAAGGUCUGUGAGUGGACAAGUUUAUUCUCAGAAUAUACCUUUCCAUUCACAUGUUUGCUACACAUUUUUCCCAAGUUUCCUCGUUACAAUCAUUACUAUGUUGACCUCUUUUAGGGUCCUCCGAGUUCUUUCUCUACUGAAGUCAACUAAUGGGAGCUCUAAAUGUUAAAUAUGAGUCUUGUGUGCAGUUUGUACCAUUAAUCUCGAAGUGGUGAAGGCACUAAAACACUAGAAUAUGAUUGAAGUGCAUAUGAUAUGAUAGGAUUCCCAAGACAAAUCCAUGAAUCUACAUAUGGGUUGGCUCUAGGGUUCUCAAUACGAAAGUCAGGAUGGUCUGCGCGGCAACAUGUGGCGUAGAUCGUGGCGAUAAUCCAUGGGCAAGGAGCACAAGACUGUAGAAGAUGAAUUUCUACAAGUUUUUUAUUUUUGGGGUGGUAAUCAUUGAUCUGGAGACAAAAGAACAUGUAGGGUUGGUUUGUGUUUUUAGAAUGUUGUAUUAUAUUGUAUGUAUAAGCAAGGCAAAAGUACUUCUUAAGAUGGUUUCUAAAUCAUGUUUUUUUCGUAUGAUUGCGCUAAUGACCCUUCAUUCUUCCCUUUUCCAUUUUUAAAAUUUAGGAGGUUUAUACUCUCUAUGUAUUUUAUUCAUAAAGCAAGCGACAAAAUGAUCCAAAUUUUUAGUGGUAUUAGUUCUAAGGAUAUUCUUUCCCGGUAUUUACUCACCA